rnacentral:lncRNA from 1 species
ACGAGUUGCUGAGCUAGAGGAGUACCAGCUAUAGAUAGUUGUAAUUUUUGGUUUAUUAUACAUGCUGAUGUUGUAUCUCGCUGGAGCGAGUAAUUUUUGUAUAUCAGGAUGCUAUGUAUGUAUAGUGAACUUCUAUUGCUUAGUGAUGUUUUAUUUCUGCAACUCUAUACUACUGGUUGUAGUGUUGUAUGAUUACAGGUAUAGGUACAUCUUCGCUUCGUAUACAAAAAAAAUUUCUAUGUAUACGGCGGGUCUGUUAGCGUGCCCAGGGAAACAAAUAAUCCGGGGCGUGACACUCAUCGCCUCCCCCACU